UGUGUCUUCUUAGCUACUUAGCUAACGUUACUGGAGCUAACGUUACUCUUUUUGUUUUGCUUUUUUCCAUCCAACAUGUAAAAGAUGUUUAACUACAUGGGAUACAUUCGUUUAAUACAAACUUUAGCAAGCUAGCGCCACACUUUAGCUAUAAAGAUCAAACCAAAGAGGAGCUGGAGGACUGGAUGCUACAUCCCAAUGAGCAGAUGAAGAAGGUCAACAACAGAUGUUCUGACCUUGGUGUAGUGGAACUGCAGGGGGUCGUCAGUGGACAGCGACACACACAGGCCCUUCUGGAGGAACUCUCGUAGAGGGUUCUUGGAGUACUGCAGGAACAGGCUGUUGUUGCUCAGCGGGGACAUGGCGAUCGGGACCUGGGCCAGGUAGUACAGCGUGCACGUCCAGAGAGUCCACGGUGAGGUCGUAGGGGUCCAUCUUGAGGUUGCUGAAGACUUCCUUGAGCUUGAUCUUCUGACCGCCCUUCUCCAAGAUGACGCGAUCCGCCUCGGUCUGGCUGAGCUCUGCGUCAGAAAAGGCUGCUGGGCCCCAGUUGGUGAUCAGCUGCUGUCCCUUGGAACCUGGAGGAGAGAAAUGAUCAAGAGACUGUUCACCAUAGAGCUGCUCCGCUAUGACCGCACACUCGCCAACGUUUACGCCGGGCUUGCAAAACACUGGCGGUAAUCAAACAAAGUUUUAAUGAUAAUUAAAAUUUUAAAAGGUAAUACUAACCACCGGGAAUUUUACCGUGGUUUAUAGUGAAACUGUUAAUCGUUACAUCCCUAUAAAGUUCAUAGAAGUUGGUCUUUAUUACCUAUUUGAGCCUUCUUAAAUAUUCGUAUGACAAUUUCACACAAAUGUCUAACAGGAUAAAAUGAUGAAGUGAUGACAUUUUGGACAGACAUGAAUGUAAACUGCAACUUGAGUGGUUGGCAGAGGCAUACAACCACGAGGUAAUUCUAGUUUAGUAAUAUCUUUGUUGUCACAGAUAUAGUAGUUGAAAAUGGAUGCAAUGGAAGUACGGCCGUUAAAGCUAUUAAAAACACAUGUUAUUAAUGGAUGUAAAGGGGUUGAGCUGGCUGAGCGUGAUGGUAAAGCUACUCCUGUGGUGUAUGUAACACAUCUAUUCUAUCCAAUAGAAGUAUCAGGUUCAAAUCCUGAUGGGAGUUUCUGCCUUUAAAUGGUCAUUUCUGUAUUUUUCGACGCUGACCUUAUUUUCCCAUGUUUUUGUGUCUAAGUGACUAAAGGGAAAACAUUUUUAAAUUGGUCCAGUAUUGAGCCAGAGCGCUGUAACCGGCAGCCGUUAAACAGGCUCUUAUAGUGCAAAGUGCUUGUUUUUUUGCCACUGACAGAUUGUUAUUAGUGUCUGUAGGGUCAUUUCCAUAAUGUUGUCAAACACAUAAAUAACAACCUAAGCCUGUCAGUGGCAAAAACAAGCACUUUUAGUGAGCGUACAUUAGCGGCGGCGCUCUCCCUCAAUACUGGACCAAUUUCAAAAAGCGUUGUCCCCAUUAGUCACUUUGACACAAAAACAUGGGAAAAUAGGUUCCAAGUUGAAAUAUGCUGAAGAUAUCCUUUAACAACGCUUUUUGCCAGUGUUACUAUCUUAGGUCCUUUGAGGAGUAUAUUUAUAGUAAAUUUCGGCACAAGGUAGAGUACUUCCUCUCUCGCCAACCAGUAAAAAAAACACAGAACGUGCAGUGCUAACCGCAGAACCGAUGCGGUAUUACGGUUAUUGCGACAGCCCUAAAACUAAUUCUACCCGUAAUCCUAAAGUCAAGUCGUACCCCUCAACCAGUCACAAAGAUACAAGUACAAACAGUGUGUGUGUUGCCGUUACCUGGU